rnacentral:rRNA from 1 species
CAAUAGCGUAUAUUAAAGUUGUUGCAGUUAAAAAGCUCGUAGUUGGAUUUCUGCUGAGGACGAUCGGUCCGCCCACUGGGUGAGUAUCUGGCUCGGCCUUGGCAUCUUCUUGGAGAACGUUGCUGCACUUGACUGUGUGGCGCGGUAUCCAGGACUUUUACUUUGAGGAAAUUAGAGUGUUUCAAGCAGGCGCACGCCUUGAAUACAUUAGCAUGGAAUAAUGAGAUAGGACCUUGGUUCUAUUUUGUUGGUUUCUAGAGCUGAGGUAAUGAUUAAUAGGGAUAGUUGGGGGCAUUCGUAUUUAACUGACAGAGGUGAAAUUCUUGGAUUUGUUAAAGACGGACUACUGCGAAAGCAUUUGCCAAGGAUGUUUUCAUUGA